rnacentral:rRNA from 1 species
UACGUAGGGCGCAAGCGUUGUCCGGAAUUAUUGGGCGUAAAGAGCUCGUAGGCGGUUUGUCGCGUCUGGUGUGAAAUCUCAAGGCUCAACCUUGAGCUUGCAUUGGGUACGGGCAGACUAGAGUGCGGUAGGGGUGACUGGAAUUCCUGGUGUAGCGGUGGAAUGCGCAGAUAUCAGGAGGAACACCGAUGGCGAAGGCAGUUCACUGGGCCGCAACUGACGCUGAGGAGCGAAAUCAUGGGUAGCGAACAGG